GCAGCAGCCAGCUGGGGAGACAGUGCCUUCCCAGGAGCAGCGCAGCUCAGUCCUGGUGCAAGAACAGGUCCCUGGUCACAAACUCCUGUGGUGAAUGUUUGACUCACGGCCUGUCUUCUGAAUCCUUUCCUCACUGCUCCCAAGCUUCCCUCCUUGGGCCAUGAGCCAAGGAAUCAGGCAUAUCAACCAACAGACCGUUUGUUUUUCCAGGGGCUGUGUAAACUGUGCUGUUGUUAUCAGUGAAACCAGGUCUGCUCGUGGCCUCCUGCUCUGCGGGCGGUGCAGGGCUCUGAUCUCCUGCUCCUGGGGCUCGAUCUCCUGCUCCUGUGCUUUCUGAGGGUGGGGCAACAGCUUGCACGAGUUUCCAGAGCACCAAACACGAGAUAUUUGUAGACUUCCACAUAUUUCUUCCACCAAACUGAUCUUCAGCCAAGCACUGCAUAUUCAGUACCUUCACUCCUUCUGAUGAACCUGGCAAAAAUUCCAGCUUUCAGACACAGCUUCAUGGGUGGCUGCUGGGAAGCUUCUGAUCUCUCACUGGGCACUGAGGGGAACGCCAGGCAGGAGCUGCUGAACUAGAAAAGCAAAGACAAGAUCUUGGGAAAGAUGGCUGUCUGGCCCACAGC